UACGUAGGGUCCGAGCGUUAAUCGGAAUUACUGGGCGUAAAGCGUGCGCAGGCGGUUUCUGAAGUCCGUUGUGAAAGCCCCGGGCUUAACCUGGGAAUGGCAGUGGAAACUAGGAGACUUGAAUCUGGCAGAGGGGGGUGGAAUGCCACGUGUAGCAGUGAAAUGCGUAGAGAUGUGGCGGAACACCGAUGGCGGAAGGCAGCCCCCUGGGUCAAGAUUGACGGCUCAGGCACGAAAGCGUGGGAGC
rnacentral:rRNA from 1 species